rnacentral:lncRNA from 1 species
GUUAGUACUCCCAUUGUCUGUAGGAGGAAACAGGCCAGAGUAGCCGGCUCAUUUGCUCAUCGUCUGUAGAAUCUUACUUCUGGGUGGUUGCAGGCACAUAUUCAAUGACACAUGAUGGCGGGCUGGGAAAAGGUCUGAUACGAGAUAAACGCUCAACCAACAUGUGCGUUUCUGCGGGGGCGAUGGGGAAGUUCCCACAGCGGGUCCCUGGCCUCCCAGGUCCCGCACAGAGGCAGCAGUGGCCGCAGAGAGCUCCGGUUGGGACGCUUGAGCAGUGGCGGUGAGCGUUUGUCCUGCCUCGGAUGCCCCGGGCUGCACCUGAUACCUCUAAGGAGUCCCUGUUCUGUGGCCCGCAGGUUAGCACGCCUUGGCCAAGCCCUCAAUAAAUGUGUUCAAUGGAUGACUGGCGACCUCGUAGGAACCUCUGUGUUUCCACUGCUUCUGUCUCCAGGAAGGACCACGUGGCCAAGUGCCCGGUUAAACUUGGAGUCAACGAAAGGACAUGGAUCGGGAGAGCGGUGUUCCUGGGCAGAGCACACCAGAAGUUGCUAUAGCCAUUUACUGAGCUCCUCCUGCAUACCAGACACUUCACAUCAUUGACUCUUCUAAUUCCACAACCCCCUGGGGCAGGUGGGAUUUAUUAUUCCCAUCUCACAGAUGAGAAAGUAGAGGGCAAGGGACCAGGCCACACUUGCAAAGCUAGGCAUGGCCAAGCAAGCUGAAUGGGGGGCUGCCGCCGCUCGCUGGGGGACCCGGAGAUGGAGGGGGCUCCUGGUCAGCUCCUUAGGAGAACACCUCCUCUGCCCCGUGUCAGUUCUUUCUUCUGAGACAGCUCCCCGGGGUUCCUCCCGCCGCCCUGGCCAUCAUCGUGGUGUCUGCGAUUUUCCGGGUGAGCAGGUGUCGCUCUGCUCUGUAGUGGGAGUUCUGGUUGAUUAACGCUCCUGGGAGCAGCUCUCAGACAGAGUUGGUGGGCAAAGACCUCAGCUCCCUCAGCCCUAAGCAGGAGAGUCCUCUGGUCCCUGGCCAGCUUUUGCCCUGGUUGUCCCAGGGGUCGCAGACCCGGUGACCCUUCCUGCGCUGGCUGCCUCUCGGUCCCUGCCCCGCCUCACGCCCUCAGUCCCCUAGUGGCGCGGCCAGGGAUCGUCUCCCAUCUCCGCACUGAUCCACCUGCACCUCCAUUCCUGGUCCCCAGCUUCUCCUCCCGUCCCCAUUCCCCGGCCUUGAGGUCUCUGGCUCAGGUAGGACUGACCCUGGCCCCCGCCUCCAGGGUCUGGCCUGUCACCCCACCAGGCCUCUAGCUGCAAUGAUGCCAAGAAGCCCAAACCAGGCUGCCACCCACUGCGUGUGGGAUUUCUGCUUUUGAAAUAGAACCGCUGGGGCUCCUGGGCCAGGAGGGUGUUGAGGGCUCAUAAAUCCUCUUAGGAUGAAGCGGAAUCAGAGUGGGCAGCGCUGAGAGGGGAAGGAGCAGCCAGCUCCCGAGGCGUCCGCGCACCCUCGCCGCAGCACAGGGCACAGGCAAUUUUUAGUCUCUUUUGUAGGCUGGGCCCUGAGCCCGGCUGUCCCCCAUGGGCAGAGCCAGUGUCCUGUCUCACAGGCUCAC